rnacentral:rRNA from 1 species
GUCCACGCCCUAAACGAUGUCAACUGGUUGUUGGGUCUUCACUGACUCAGUAACGAAGCUAACGCGUGAAGUUGACCGCCUGGGGAGUACGGCCGCAAGGUUGAACUCAAAGGAAUUGACGGGGACCCGGCCACAAGCGGUGGGAUGAUGUGGUUUAAUUUCGAUGCAACGCGAAAACCUUAAACCCCACCCUUUGUACAUGUACGGAAGUUACCAGAGAUGGUUUCGUGCUCGAAAGAGAACCGUAACACAGGUGCUGCAUGGCUGUCGU